rnacentral:rRNA from 1 species
AGUAGGGCCUGCCCACUGAAUAUUUAAAGGGCCGCAGUAUCUUAACUGUGCAAAGGUAGCAUAAUCAUUAGUUUUUUAAUUGAAAGCUGGAAUGAAUGGUUUGAUGAAAAAAUUUCUGUUUCAAUAUUAUUUUUUUAGAAUUUUAUUUUUAAGUUAAAAAGCUUAAAUAUUUAUAAAAGACGAGAAGACCCUAUAGAGUUUAAUUAAUAAUUAAUUUUUUUAAAGUAGAAUUAAUUUUAAAAGAUUUAGGUAUUAAUUUGAUUGGGGUGAUUAAAAAAUUAAUUAAACUUUUUUUAUAUUAUUACAUUUAUUUAUGAAUAUUUGAUCCAUUAAUAUGAUUAAAAGAAU